rnacentral:rRNA from 1 species
UAGGGAAUCUUCCGCAAUGGGCGAAAGCCUGACGGAGCAACGCCGCGUGAGUGAUGAAGGUCUUCGGAUCGUAACACUCUGUUAUUAGGGAAGAACAAAUGUGUAAGUAACUAUGCACGUCUUGACGGUACCUAAUCAGAAAGCCACGGCUAACUACGUGCCUGCAGCCGCGGUAAUACGUAGGUGGCAAGCGUUAUCCGGAAUUAUUGGGCGUAAAGCACGCGUUGGCGGUUUUUUAAGUCUGAUGUGAAAGCCCACGGCUCAACCGUGAAGUGUCAUUGGAAACUGGAAAACUUGAGGGCAGAAGAGGAAAAUGGAAUUCCAUGUGCAGCUGUGAAAUACGCAGAGUUAUAGAGGUACUCCAGUGGCGAAAGCGACUUUCUGAUCUGUAAAUGACGCUGAUGUGCGAAAGCGUGGGGAUCAAACAGG